CGUGACAAGAUGUAAGACGUAAUUUGUACAUCAUGUCGGCAAUUGAUUCAUGGGCUUGGCCCAAAAUAUGAUUAACCUAGCUUCCUAUGCGCCUGUAAUGGCGGCAUAACCUUUUCACCUCUUUCAAACCAACUUGGUGAGUUGUUCACACUUUCUAAAUAUACGAAAGGAAAGGCGAAGUUGUUUAUUGUCAAUUGCAAUUAGCUAAUGUCGUGUUUUGGUGUGAAUUUCCAGCAAUCCCUUGACAAAGAUGAGACAUCAUCUUGUUUCACCGCGUGGGCCUACGUCGCCACGGCUGGUAUCUAAUAUAAGGGACUCGGCUUAGAAACCGGUAAGGAUUUUUUAAUCUCAUUAUGUCCGCAAGCUAAAUCGCGCUUUGUCCCAAUUAAAAAUAUAAUAUAUUUUUUAUAACAUAACCUCGCUAAAACCUAGAACAUUUUCUUUGUUUCUAGGGUCCCUUCUUGGCUUGGCCUGUCCCUUGGCUUGCCUUCUUCUCCCUUCUGCCCCUUGGCGUGGCCCUUGGUCCCUUCUAGGCCCUAUGGCUUUUGGAAGAUCUAGGGUGGUGUCGCACCAUGCUAGUUGGGAAGCCGUCUUCUCCACUUAAUUUUUGGACUCGAGGUGAAGUGUUUAUACGAUAAAACUGUGAGUUAAAAACUUAUAUUUACAUUAGUGACUGUGUUCCUUUGCUGGAAAGGAUAAACAAUAUUUAAGUCUGAAUUUCUUUUUAACGUGAACUUUCUACAUGGUAAAUUCUAUUAUUAAUAUGAAACCUGUAAUUCCUAUGAAGGAUUUUGUGUGUAGUACAGGCCCGAGUAUGCCUGAGAUGUACUUAAGUUAAAUUUAAUUAGUAAUAGUUACGGUAUAUAAUUUAAAUUUUAAGUGUUGAGGCCGUAGCAGGUCUUAUUGUGGUGCAAAGUGAAUAAAAGCAUUUAGUAAAUAAA